GUUUUUUGAGUAAAUUAGAGUGUUCAAGCAAACAGUUAAAGCAUUUUACUGCGUUUGAAUACUACAGCAUGGAAUAACAAAAUUGAACAAGUCAAAACUCUGUUCCUUUUUCUUAUUUUGGCUUAGUUACGAUUAAUAGGAGUAGCUUGGGGGCAUUUGUAUUCAGAUGUCAGAGGUGAAAUUCUUAGAUUUUCUGGAGACAAACAACUGCGAAAGCAUUUGCCUAAAAUACUUCCAUUAAUCAAGAACGAAAGUUAAGGGAGUGAAGACGAUCAGAUACCGUCGUAAUCUUAACCAUAAACUAUGCCGACUAGGUUUUGGAUGAAAGAUUUUUAAAUAAGAAAAUUCCUUUUGGAAAUUUCUUAGAUUGCUUCCUUCAGUACCUUAUGAGAAAUCAAAGUCUUUGGGUUCUGGGGCGAGUAUUCGCGCAAGCGAGAAAGUUAAAAGAAUUGACGGAAGGGCACCACCAGGCGUGGAGCUUGCGGCUUAAUUUGACUCAACACGGGGAAACUCACUAGUUUAAGACAAGAGUAGGAUUGACAGAUUAAUAGCUCUUUCUUGAUUUCUUGGAUGGUGAUGCAUGGCCGUUUUUAGUUCGUGAAUAUGAUUUGUCUGGUUAAUUCCGAUAACGAACGAGAUCUUAACCUGCUAAUUAGCGGCGAAUACGUUAUAUUCCUACUUGAAAUUGAAUAUAGCUGAAUUUGCUUAUUUUGAAGAAUAUAUUAGGAUACAUUAUAUGUGCCUUUUGCGAUUU
rnacentral:rRNA from 1 species